rnacentral:rRNA from 1 species
GACGAACGCUGGCGGCGUGCUUAACACAUGCAAGUCGAACGGAAAGGCCCUGCUUUUGUGGGGUGCUCGAGUGGCGAACGGGUGAGUAACACGUGAGUAACCUGCCCUUGACUUUGGGAUAACUUCAGGAAACUGGGGCUAAUACCGGAUAGGAGCUCCUGCUGCAUGGUGGGGGUUGGAAAGUUUCGGCGGUUAGGGAUGGACUCGCGGCUUAUCAGCUUGUUGGUGGGGUAGUGGCUUACCAAGGCUUUGACGGGUAGCCGGCCUGAGAGGGUGACCGGCCACAUUGGGACUGAGAUACGGCCCAGACUCCUACGGGAGGCAGCAGUGGGGAAUAUUGCACAAUGGGCGGAAGACUGAUGCAGCAACGCCGCGUGCGGGAUGACGGCCUUCGGGUUGUAAACCGCUUUCGCCUGUGACGAAGCGUGAGUGACGGUAAUGGGUAAAGAAGCACCGGCUAACUACGUG